rnacentral:lncRNA from 1 species
UUAAUUUAUUUUUUAUCUCUACUAAAACCAAAAAUUAAAAAUGCCACCCACUUCUCUCCCUCUCUCGGGCAUCAAGAAGCCCUUUUCUGAAGUUGCCCUCCAUCGGGCAUCAAGAAGCCCUUUUCUGAAGUUGCCCUCCAGCUGAGAGAAUCCCUAAAAGGCCCUAUUUUCCUCUGCGACUCUCAAUCCUCGCAGGUACUAAUCUAAUCAUGUUAUUAUUAUUAUUAUUUUUUUUGCAACCCCCGUUUGAUUCCCAAGAAAAUCCAUCCCCCAUUCGAUUUCCGGGAAAAUUCAUCCUCGUUUGAUUUCCGAGAAAAUCCAAGCAAAAACCCCAAGGAAAACAAAAAAAAAAUGGAUUUUCUUGCUCCCUGUGUUUUCUGGAUCCGUUUUAGGGGUCUCUUUGCUAUUGUGCCAUUGGAUUUAAAUUUCACAACCUUGAAUCAAGACUGAGAUUGUGCUGGAGAAGAGAUGAGAACGGGAAGAAAAAAAAAACACGGAGAACAGAUGGUUUUUUUUUGUUUAAUUUUGUUCUGUAAACAGUAAAAAAACGGGGAAAACAACAUUUUGUUGUUCUCUAAACAGUGCCAUUUUGAGAACACGGGAAACAAUAAAAACAAAAACAACCCUCUCAACCAAACGAGUUUUUUGUGUUUUUUGUUUUCAAGAACAGAAAACAGUUCUUGAAAACACUAAACAAACAGGCCCUUACUCUUUUUUUUUUUUCUUUUGUUUUAAUUUUUUUUUUCUUUUUCUUUUUCAUUUUUCUUUUAAUCAUAUGAGAAUGAGCUCAACAAUUUUUUAAUCCCUAUCUUAUAUCGAUCCCCUUAGGAUAAAAAAUUUAUGAAAGUUAUUUUUUCAAAUAUGGGUUUGAUUUUAUCUUUUUUAAUCAAAUAUUUUGAAAUUUUUAAUCAAGAUAGUACCUUUUGUUUUAAGAGAUUUUAUCAAGAUUAAAAGGGUGUUUGUUUUUUAAAAUUUUUUCUGAAAGUAAUUUGUUUUCAGAAUUUAAGUUAUUUGUUUUUAUUUUUAUUUUUUUAUAACUUAUUAUAAACUUAACAUAUUGAUUUUUCUUUACUUUUUAAUACUUUAUAUAAAUAAAAUAUUAUAAAAACAAACAACCUAAUACUUAAAACUAUUAAAUAUUAAAGUUCUAUUUAGAAUUAAGUAAAAAAUCAAACAUCACCUAAGUCUUUUUUAAAUGUAACUAGAAUAAGUAAUUAAUCAAAAUUUCUUUCACGGUAUCAUCAUAAAAACACUUUUAAUUUAAUUUAUAAUAUUUCACUUUUGGCAAUUCACUUUUAUAGGAAGGACUAAUUUCUAUUGCUUAAAAAGUAAUUAAGUAAUAACAAGGUGAUUUUUAAAAUUGAUUUUUUUCGGGUUUUACCAAAACACUUAAUUUUUUUUUUAUAGAAUUUCCUUUCAAAUAUUAGAAAACAUCUCUAAGGAAUUACUCCCAAAUAGACUCUUAGACUAUGUUUGAUUCCUGAAAUUUUGAGAGAAAUGUGAAGGAAAGAAAAUAGUGAGGAAAAAUAAAAAAUAAAAUGUUAAGAAAAAAAAAUCAAAAUCAAUAAAUUAUUGUUAUAUAUUUCUUCAAACUCAUUUAACUUAUUUUCCUUUAUUAUAUAAGGAUUGAAUAAUUAUAAAAUGUAUACAUUUUUAGUUAAUUUUAAUUUUAUUUUCUUUCAUAUUUUUCAUAAUAAAAUUAAUCAUGAGAAAAACCAUUUUUCUUAAUAUUUUUUUCUUUACUUAGGUGAUGUUUGUUUUUCUAUUUUUUCAUGAUUUAUUAUAAACUUUUUAUUAAAUAAAAAAACUAAAAUAUGUAACUUUUUCUAACUAGAAAAAAUAACAUAUUAGUUUUUUUUUUCACUUUUUAAUACUUAAUAGAAAUAAAAUACUACAAAAGCAAACAACCUAAUAUUUAAUACUAUUAAACAUUAAAGUUCUAUUUAGAAUUAAGUAAAAAAACAAACGCCGCCUUAAUAGUUUCUCAAAACCAAACAUAGCCUUACUGGUACAUUUCUUGCAAUGUCACACCAUAAAAGAGUUCCUAUCACACGAGCCUAGGUGACAAAUUCCUAUUAACAACAGCCCAGAAACUGAAAUAUUGAGUUUGGGUUGCCCUGAUGUUGGUCCACCACAUCCAUGUUGUAUACAAGUGGGCUUAGUGUUUCCACAGCUCAAAUUUGGGCUGAGAAAACACUGAAAAUGACAAGCUUUCUGAAUCUUAUUACUCAUCAUUUGCAAAAUUUCAAGCCUAAGUAUUGAUCUCCCAUGCCUUUUUGAAUCAUAUUUCCAGAUGGGUCCAAUACCAGAUUCCUUAUCAGGGCAAGAAAAUGAAAAUCCUGGAAUCUAGUUCUAUUGCUUUUUUCAGACUCUGCAAACAGCUUGAGUACAGUACUACAGCAUGUUUAUUUAUUCAGUAGUUCCAAAUUCAGCUUACUUCACACACAUCACUUUGAUUUUCUGGUACCCAUACAUGUUUCAAAUUCCUCAUUGCAUUAUGGAGGAGAAUACCAACCCCAUUGCUUAUCAGAGGUGUACUGUGUGACUUGCUUUACAGUCAAGUAGUUUUCAAGGCCCCUGCAAAUCAAGUAUUAUCGGUAAGUAACCAUUGAUAAUAUACUGAUUCUAGUGUGAAGCAUAGACAUAACUGCAAACUUGGAAAUUGUCAUACCA